AACGAACGCUGGCGGCAGGCCUAAUACAUGCAAGUCGAGCGCCCAGCAAUGGGAGCGGCGCACGGGUGCGUAACGCGUGGGAAUAUGCCUUUUGGUACGGAACAACCAAGGGAAACUUUGGCUAAUACCGUAUAAUAUCUUCGGAUCAAAGAAUUUCGCCAAAAGAUUAGCCCGGGUCUGAUUAGCUAGUUGGUGGGGUAAAGGCCUACCAAGGCGACGAUCAGUAGCUGGUCUGAGAGGAUGAUCAGCCACACUGGAACUGAGACACGGGUCAGACUCCUACGGGAGGCAGCAGUAAGGAAUAUUGGACAAUGGGGGCAACCCUGAUCCAGCCAUGCCGCGUGGGUGACGAAGGCCUUAGGGUUGUAAAGCUCUUUUGGUGGGGAAGAUAAUGACUGUACCCACAGAAUAAGCCCCGGCUAAAUUCGUGCCAGCCGCCGCAGUAA
rnacentral:rRNA from 1 species